GAUGAACGCUGGCGGCGUGCCUAAUACAUGCAAGUCGAGCGAACGGACGAGAAGCUUGCUUUUCUGAUGUUAGCGGCGGACGGGUGAGUAACACGUGGAUAACCUACCUAUAAGACUGGGAUAACUUCGGGAAACCGGAGCUAAUACCGGAUAAUAUUUUGAACCGCAUGGUUCAAAAGUGAAAGACGGUCUUGCUGUCACUUAUAGAUGGAUCCGCGCUGCAUUAGCUAGUUGGUAAGGUAACGGCUUACCAAGGCAACGAUGCAUAGCCGACCUGAGAGGGUGAUCGGCCACACUGGAACUGAGACACGGUCCAGACUCCUACGGGAGGCAGCAGUAGGGAAUCUUCCGCAAUGGGCGAAAGCCUGACGGAGCAACGCCGCGUGAGUGAUGAAGGUCUUCGGAUCGUAAAACUCUGUUAUUAGGGAAGAACAUAUGUGUAAGUAACUGUGAACAUCUUGACGGUGCCUAAUCAGAAAGCCACGGCUAACUACGUG
rnacentral:rRNA from 1 species